GGGCCCGCACAAGCGGUGGAGCAUGUGGUUUAAUUCGAUGCAACGCGAAAAACCUUACCAGGCCUUGACAUCCUGAGAACUUUCUAGAGAUAGAUUGGUGCCUUCGGGAACUCAGUGACAGGUGUUGCAUGGCUGUCGUCAGCUCGUGUCGUGAGAUGUUGGGUUAAGUCCCGUAACGAGCGCAACCCUUAUCCUUAUUUGCCAGCACAUAAUGGUGGGAACUCUAAGGAGACUGCCGGUGACAAACCGGAGGAAGGAGAGGAUGAUGUCAAGUCAUCAUGGCCCUUACGGCCUGGGCUACACACGUGCUACAAUGGGCAGUACAGAGGGCCGCGAACCCGCGAGGGGAGCU
rnacentral:rRNA from 1 species